UGAGGGUUUCGGCCCGACCUCCAACCCUUUGUGAAUCAAACCUGUUGCUUCGGGGGCGACCCUGCCGUUCGCGGCGCGGCGCCCCCGGGGGAAAUCAAACACUGCGUCAAUUUGUGUCGGAGUACUUGUUAAUAAACAAAACUUUCAACAACGGAUCUCUUGGUUCUGGCAUCGAUGAAGAACGCAGCGAAAUGCGAUAAGUAAUGUGAAUUGCAGAAUUCAGUGAAUCAUCGAAUCUUUGAACGCACAUUGCGCCCCGUGGUAUUCCGCGGGGCAUGCCUGUUCGAGCGUCAUUUCACCACUCGAGUCUGACUCGGUAUUGGGCGUCGCGUUUCGAUGCGCGCCUUAAAGUUUCCGGCUGGACCGUCCGUCUCCGAGCGUUGUGGCAUCUGUCUCGCUAGGGAGCCGCGGAGGGCGUUGGCCGUUAAACACCCCAUCAAAGGUUGACCUCGGAUCAGGUAGGGAUACCCGCUGAACUUAAGCAUAUCAAUAAGCGGGAGGAAA
rnacentral:rRNA from 1 species